GCGGGUGUCGUAUAGCGGUUAUUAUCCCAGUUUUCCAAACUGGUGAUUGGAGUUCGACUCUCCACACCCGCACCA
rnacentral:tRNA from 1 species